GCCUGGCUGGCUCAGUCAGCAGAGCAUGUGACUCUUGAUCUCAGGGUCAUGAGUUCAAGCCCCACAUUGGGCA
rnacentral:tRNA from 1 species